rnacentral:rRNA from 1 species
UGGGGAAUAUUGCACAAUGGGGGAAACCCUGAUGCAGCAACGCCGCGUGAAGGAAGACGGUUUUCGGAUUGUAAACUUCUGUUCUUAGUGAAGAAUAAUGACGGUAGCUAAGGAGCAAGCCGCGGCUAACUACGUGCCAGCAGCCGCGGUAAUACGUAGGUGGCAAGCGUUGUCCGGAAUUACUGGGUGUAAAGGGAGCGCAGGCGGGAGACCAAGUCAGCUGUGAAAACUACGGGCUUAACCUGUAGACUGCAGUUGAAACUGGUUUUCUUGAGUGAAGUAGAGGUUGGCGGAAUUCCGAGUGUAGCGGUGAAAUGCGUAGAUAUUCGGAGGAACACCGGUGGCGAAGGCGGCCAACUGGGCUUUAACUGACGCUGAGGCUCGAAAAGUGUGGGGAGCAAACAGGAUUAGAUACCC